UACGUAGGGUGCAAGCGUUGUCCGGAAUUAUUGGGCGUAAAGAGCUCGUAGGCGGUUUGUCGCGUCUGCUGUGAAAACGCGAGGCUCAACUUCGCGCCUGCAGUGGGUACGGGCAGACUAGAGUGCGGUAGGGGAGAUUGGAAUUCCUGGUGUAGCGGUGGAAUGCGCAGAUAUCAGGAGGAACACCGAUGGCGAAGGCAGAUCUCUGGGCCGUAACUGACGCUGAGGAGCGAAAGCGUGGGGAGCGAACAGG
rnacentral:rRNA from 1 species